UACUAACCGGGGAGUCAGCGGUGCCUUGUAGCCUGCAAUCCGCUAUAGCAGGGGUUAUAUGCCAUUUGAGGGCAGCGGCCGUGCGGCCGCGUCAACAACGAGUCCGCUGAAGGACGGGUCCCGCGCAAUCGGCAGCCGUGAACCAUGUCAGGUGGGGAACCAAGCAGCAUUAAGCGGUAGCGCCGGUGUGCCGCGGGGGCGCCUGUCCGGAGGACAGAUUUUGACU
rnacentral:SRP_RNA from 1 species